GACGAACGCUGGCGGCGUGCCUAAUACAUGCAAGUAGAACGCUGAAGAGAGGAGCUUGCUCUUCUUGGAUGAGUUGCGAACGGGUGAGUAACGCGUAGGUAACCUGCCUUGUAGCGGGGGAUAACUAUUGGAAACGAUAGCUAAUACCGCAUAACAAUGGAUGACACAUGUCAUUUAUUUGGAAGGGGCAAUUGCUCCACUACAAGAUGGACCUGCGUUGUAUUAGCUAGUAGGUGAGGUAAUGGCUCACCUAGGCGACGAUACAUAGCCGACCUGAGAGGGGGAACGGGCACACUGGGAAUGAGACACGGCCCAGACUUCUAAGGGAGGCAGCAGUAGGGAAUCUUCGGCAAAGGGGGCAACCCUGAACGAGCAAAGCCGCGGGAGGGAAGAAGGGUUUCGGAUCGUAAAGCUCUGUUGUAAGUCAAGAACGGGUGUGAGAGUGGAAAGUUCACACUGUGACGGUAGCUUACCAGAAAGGGACGGCUAACUACGUG
rnacentral:rRNA from 1 species